AUUGAACGCUGGCGGCAUGCCUUACACAUGCAAGUCGAACGGCAGCGGGGGAGAAGCUUGCUUUUCCUGCCGGCGAGUGGCGAACGGGUGAGUAAUACAUCGGAACGUGCCCUGUAGUGGGGGAUAACUAGUCGAAAGAUUAGCUAAUACCGCAUACGACCUGAGGGUGAAAGGGGGGGACCGCAAGGCCUCAUGCUAUAGGAGCGGCCGAUGUCUGAUUAGCUAGUCGGGGGGGUAAAGGCCUACCGAGGCGACGAUCAGUAGCUGGUCUGAGAGGACGAUCAGCCACACUGGGACUGAGACACGGCCCAGACUCCUACGGGAGGCAGCAGUGGGGAAUUUUGGACAAUGGGCGAAAGCCUGAUCCAGCAAUGCCGCGUGUGUGAAGAAGGCCUUCGGGUUGUAAAGCACUUUUGUCCGGAAAGAAAUGGCUCUGGUUAAUACCUGGGGUCGAUGACGGUACCGGAAGAAUAAGGACCGGCUAACUACGUGCCAGCCGCCGCGGUAA
rnacentral:rRNA from 1 species